rnacentral:pre_miRNA from 1 species
UGCUUUUUUUUAAAAUAUUGAAGAGGUAGUUUUCAGCUUCAAACCAAGUCCAGUUGGGGUUUGAAGCUAAAAAGUACCUAUUCAAUAUAAAAAAAAG